AACUUUCAACAACGGAUCUCUUGGUUCUGGCAUCGAUGAAGAACGCAGCGAAAUGCGAUAAGUAAUGUGAAUUGCAGAAUUCAGUGAAUCAUCGAAUCUUUGAACGCACAUUGCGCCCGCCAGCAUUCUGGCGGGCAUGCCUGUCCGAGCGUCAUU
rnacentral:rRNA from 1 species